GCUUCUUUUUCCCCGGAGCUUGCUCCACCGGAAAAAGAAGAGUGGCGAACGGGUGAGUAACACGUGGGUAACCUGCCCAUCAGAAGGGGAUAACACUUGGAAACAGGUGCUAAUACCGUAUAACAAUCGAAACCGCAUGGUUUUGAUUUGAAAGGCGCUUUCGGGUGUCGCUGAUGGAUGGACCCGCGGUGCAUUAGCUAGUUGGUGAGGUAACGGCUCACCAAGGCCACGAUGCAUAGCCGACCUGAGAGGGUGAUCGGCCACAUUGGGACUGAGACACGGCCCAAACUCCUACGGGAGGCAGCAGUAGGGAAUCUUCGGCAAUGGACGAAAGUCUGACCGAGCAACGCCGCGUGAGUGAAGAAGGUUUUCGGAUCGUAAAACUCUGUUGUUAGAGAAGAACAAGGAUGAGAGUAACUGUUCAUCCCUUGACGGUAUCUAACCAGAAAGCCACGGCUAACUACGUGCCAGCAGCCGCGGUAAUACGUAGGUGGCAAGCGUUGUCCGGAUUUAUUGGGCGUAAAGCGAGCGCAGGCGGUUUCUUAAGUCUGAUGUGAAAGCCCCCGGCUCAACCGGGGAGGGUCAUUGGAAACUGGGAGACUUGAGUGCAGAAGAGGAGAGUGGAAUUCCAUGUGUAGCGGUGAAAUGCGUAGAUAUAUGGAGGAACACCAGUGGCGAAGGCGGCUCUCUGGUCUGUAACUGACGCUGAGGCUCGAAAGCGUGGGGAGCAAACAGGAUUAGAUACCCUGGUAGUCCACGCCGUAAACGAUGAGUGCUAAGUGUUGGAGGGUUUCCGCCCUUCAGUGCUGCAGCUAACGCAUUAAGCACUCCGCCUGGGGAGUACGACCGCAAGGUUGAAACUCAAAGGAAUUGACGGGGGCCCGCACAAGCGGUGGAGCAUGUGGUUUAAUUCGAAGCAACGCGAAGAACCUUACCAGGUCUUGACAUCCUUUGACCACUCUAGAGAUAGAGCUUCCCCUUCGGGGGCAAAGUGACAGGUGGUGCAUGGUUGUCGUCAGCUCGUGUCGUGAGAUGUUGGGUUAAGUCCCGCAACGAGCGCAACCCUUAUUGUUAGUUGCCAUCAUUUAGUUGGGCACUCUAGCAAGACUGCCGGUGACAAACCGGAGGAAGGUGGGGAUGACGUCAAAUCAUCAUGCCCCUUAUGACCUGGGCUACACACGUGCUACAAUGGGAAGUACAACGAGUCGCGAAGUCGCGAGGCUAAGCUAAUCUCUUAAAGCUUCUCUCAGUUCGGAUUGUAGGCUGCAACUCGCCUACAUGAAGCCGGAAUCGCUAGUAAUCGCGGAUCAGCACGCCGCGGUGAAUACGUUCCCGGGCCUUGUACACACCGCCCGUCACACCACGAGAGUUUGUAACACCCGAAGUCGGUGAG
rnacentral:rRNA from 1 species